rnacentral:rRNA from 1 species
GUGGGGAAUAUUGGACAAUGGGCGAAAGCCUGAUCCAGCCAUGCCGCGUGUGUGAAGAAGGUCUUCGGAUUGUAAAGCACUUUAAGUUGGGAGGAAGGGCAGUAAGUUAAUACCUUGCUGUUUUGACGUUACCGACAGAAUAAGCACCGGCUAACUUCGUGCCAGCAGCCGCGGUAAUACGAAGGGUGCAAGCGUUAAUCGGAAUUACUGGGCGUAAAGCGCGCGUAGGUGGUUUUGUAAGUUGGAGGUGAAAUCCCCGGGCUCAACCUGGGAACUGACUCCAAAACUGUAUGACUAGAGUACGGUAGAGGGUAGUGGAAUUUCCUGUGUAGCGGUGAAAUGCGUAGAUAUAGGAAGGAACACCAGUGGCGAAGGCGACUACCUGGACUGAUACUGACACUGAGGUGCGAAAGCGUGGGGAGCAAACAGGAUUAGAUACCCCAGUAGUCC